rnacentral:rRNA from 1 species
AUUCCAGCUCCAAUAGCGUAUAUUAAAGUUGUUGCAGUUAAAAAGCUCGUAGUUGGAUUUCAGUCUUAGUUCGUCUGGCCCGCUCCCUUGAGGAGCCGAGUGCCGGUUGCGAGCUGGACUUCCUUCUAGCAUGGAACCUCUACCGUUAUGCGGCCGGGGGGGACAUCUGGAUCAUUUACUUUGAAGAAAUUAGAGUGUUCAAAGCAAGCUUACGCUGUGAAUAUAUUAGCAUGGAAUAAUAACAUAGGACUCGGGUUCUAUUUUGUUGGUUUCUAGGACUCAAGUAAUGAUUGAUAGGGACAGUUGGGGGUGCUGCUAUUAUAUGGCCAGAGGUGAAAUUCACGGAUUCAUAUAAGAGCAACUUAUGCGAAAGCAUUCACCAAGGAUGUCUUCAUC